GAAGUGCGAUAAGCAAUGCGAAUUGCAGAAUUCCGCGAAUCAUCAGAUCUUUGAACGCAAAUGGCGCCAGAGGGAUAUCCUUCUGGCAUGUCUGUUUCAGUGUCUGAGAGGUUACACCCUAAUCUUAAUGUGAUUGAACGUAGGUAGUUGUUGUAUAGUAAUAUACAAUUGCUGCCAGCAAGUUCUCUCAUGAAAUAUGCGUGAGUGGAUCUUUCGGUCCAAUGAAGUGGUCACAUCACUCGAAUGUGAUUUCAUUGGAAGCACCGAAUUAUCAUUAACUAACUCAUGGUAUCUUAUGUAUUAGGAAGUAUUAUUUUACGAUAAUACCCCUAACACAACUCUACAACCUGCAUCUGAGAUAGGCAAGAUCACCCGCUGAACUUAA
rnacentral:misc_RNA from 1 species